AUAAUUUCAAGAGAUGUCGUUUUUGGCCGAUUUUGACAAAAAUGGGAAGGCGGGGUGAAGCGGGGAUGAUUACUUCACACUUCGUCUUCAUCCUACAUGGAUACGUUGUCAGUUUUGCCGUAAGGACAAACGGUUUCCGAGAUUCUAUGGCGAAUUGGCGACCAGGCCGGACCCUAUCGGGAACUUCCUGAACGGAAUGGCUACACAGUUUGGUGGAUUGUCUGCACAAGAUGGUGUACUUCUCUUCCCACUCUGCAGUAGAAAUUCAUUGUUUGGUGAACCAUAACUUCUCAUCAGUUGACAGUUGUAGCCACUAGCCAGUUGCCUAGUUGUUAUGGAAGGAACGAAGGAGAUUGAAGUUCUCCAGUUUUACUGUUGUAGACUAUGAAAUGCUGACCAGUUAUCUGCAGUCAGAAAUCCACCUGCCCAAGACUUAGAUUCACAGACUGAGAAAACACGAGCUGAAGAAGUUUAGAAAUAAACAUUCUAUGUAAAAUGACUGAAGAUAUUCUAAAAUCAGUUAAGUAAAUAGUAAAAAACUUGUUGUGUCACAAACUGUUGAAAAAAUCUUCCUGACACAAAACUCAUGGAAAUAGAAAUUCAUUUGUGGUUGAAACCAGGCAAUCAAGCUUAUGGGAAAUUAUCUCUGAUAAUUUAAUGGUCACCCCUAUUUCCCCCCCGGCAACCGGAGGGGCGCUAACGUCAAAAAUUGCUAUUUUCCGCCGGCUGCCGGGGGGCGCUAAAGUCAAAUUGUCUAUUGACCUGAUUGACAUGGAAAUGGUGUAAUCCCACUGAGCUUGCACGAUGCCUAGGCGUGCAAGAUACGAUAAAACUGGCCUUAUCUUCUUGACUGUACGUUGGCAGAAGUCGAGUCAAAGGAAAACGAUAUUUAGUUCCAUCCUGGAUAAGCCAAGGUGUAUUUCUACAUCACAUAGAAGAGGUAUAGAAUAAGAUACCUCUAUAAUUAGUGUUUCUUUUCCCUCUUUAGUUUAAAACAGAUGUCAUCACUUUGGAUAAAGCAGGGCAAACCAUAAACAGUCCACAGUGCCCCAUGGCUGCCAGGGGGAAAUACUGAUCAGGUUAAAUUUUCAGCCAAGGAGCACGUUUCACGCGAAUCAAACGGUAAAUCCAGUUGUCACACCAUAAAAUAUAGUUUCUUUUUGGAAAAGUCUAUUGGCUUCAAGACCGUCUCGCCGAGACCAGGCAGGUUGUGUUAAGAACAAGAAGUGAUACUGUCCCGUGGAUACCAGGUGGCGCUGGUGUGAUGAUUGUGUCGUUGAGUUUUGUGGAAUUUCAAGAGAUGUCGUUUUUUGCAGAUAUUGAUUUACUUUAAUUUAGUGUUCGUUUGUUACAUUACACGUACGUCGUUACGUUACAAACAAAUUGCAAAAAAUUAACACAACCUACAAACAAUAGUAGCAGCAAGAUUCGAUAUUCCAAAACUAGAAAUAAAAAAAAUCAUAAAAUUAGCUCACAAAUGGCUAAAAUAACAACGUUCAAAUAAAUCACUGACAAGGGGAC